CCCAGACUCCUACGGGAGGCAGCAGUGGGGAAUAUUGCACAAUGGGGGGAACCCUGAUCCAGCGACGCCGCGUGAGUGAAGGAGUAUUUCGGUAUGUAAAGCUCUAUCAGCAGGGAAGAAAGAAAUGACGGUACCUGACUAAGAAGCCCCGGCUAACUACGUGCCAGCAGCCGCGGUAAUACGUAGGGGGCAAGCGUUAUCCGGAUUUACUGGGUGUAAAGGGAGCGUAGACGGUUACGCAAGUCUGGAGUGAAAGGCGGGGGCCCAACCCCCGGACUGCUCUGGAAACUAUUUGACUGGAGUGCAGGAGAGGUAAGCGGAAUUCCUAGUGUAGCGGUGAAAUGCGUAGAUAUUAGGAAGAACACCAGUGGCGAAGGCGGCUUGCUGGACAGUAACUGACGUUGAGGCUCGAAAGCGUGGGGAGCAAACAGGAUUAGAUACCCCAGUA
rnacentral:rRNA from 1 species